ensembl:lincRNA
CUGUGGGCAGUGCCUGACCCAGGAGCCUGGCCUGCGAGUCAGCUUGGGCAAGGCGCUUCCCCGCCCUAGGCUGCCUCCGUUUCCUUUUCUGGAAGAUGAAAGAAGACAGAGGGUCUGCCUGUCCAGAGCAGGGCUGGGAUCAAAGAAUGGACUGGAAGGAACAAUGGCCACCACCGUCCACUCUGUGCUUCUCCCCAGCUGGGCUGAGUCUUCGCGAGGGUACCACUGUCGCCCCCAGGGGCUACUCCAUAGGAGAUGCACACAGCAGAUGGAGCUAAACAACACUUUCCUGACUGGGCUGUGUCUAUCAGAAGGCUUACUCCUGCUCCCACCCGCGGGCCCAGAACGGAGGAAACACAGCAGGAGGCUCAGCAGUCAGGCCUGAAAGCUGGGAAGACGGAGAGCAGGAAGCAGGGGCCAGGGAGAGGUGUGGAACAGAAAGGGGUGUGGACAACCGAUGGGAACAAGGCCGUGAGGUUGAAGCCAACGCAGGCACUAAGGAGGGCCUCAGGCACUUUGGAUGGCCGGCCCUUCUCACCUACUCUCAGUGUCUGGGCUCAGCUGGAAGACUGGGCUUCACAGACGCCAAGGGCAUGGGCUGGAUUCUCUGGAGGCCGCUCAUCUUCCCUUGGGUUUGUUGAGGGGAUUCAGAGGCAGGAAAUAGAAAUCUCACUUGCUAUUAAGCUUGACCUUAGUCUAAGACCCUUCAGAUCCAGGGGAAGACCCCGGGGACAUGGGCGGGGCCUCUCCCCAUCUUUCUGCUCUGCCGUGCUCCUUCCAAGAGCGGGAGGGAAGCUCUGUGGACUCAGGUACCCUGGACUGGCUGACGGAACCCUGGGAAGUCUGCCCAUCCUAAAAAUAUACCAGCUCUUCCUUAAGAUGAAAAUAUGUGUCCCAAAAGCCAAUCUCUAGAAUGUUCUAGAGAGCCAGUUGCUUCUGCAAUGACCACCCCCAGGGCCGUUGUCUGGGAGGGGUGUGAGUUGAUGACAGCACAGAUGGCACGGGAGCAGUGGAUGUCAGUCGGUUCUGGGUUCAAAUGCCGCCUCUGUUUCAGGAGGUUACAUUGCUCUCCAAGCCUCAUUCCUCGUGUUGGGUGGUGAUGGUGAUGGUGUGAUGAUAACAGUGAUCCCCAUCUCUUGGGGCAGAGAAGGAUUACAGGAGAAAAGGGGUACCCAAGUGCUUCCCACACAGCUGAACAAAUGCUGAUGGCCACGGUGACCAGGACAAUUGCAAUGGCCACUUACAGGUGACUUGGAGCUGGCCAGCCAUUGUAGCUGAGCAGGCUGCUCACCCAGGGAUGAGGAGGGGGUCCCACUCCCCGGGGGGAGACAUUGCUGGGUAUGAGUCAAGCUCCCCACCAUGCUGCCGCACCCUCACACCCACACCAUUCUCCUUAUUUGCAGGCAGGAACUUUGGGCUAAUUAUGGAAGUGAGACAAUGACCGGCUGGCCUGUUACGCACAGUGUAGGCUGUGGGAAAUGCGCAGGCACCUGCCAAGUGUCUCUCCUCCCCAAGGGUUCCAGGAGCUCCAGCUGCCAUCAUCCCUGGGAGGGCUCCAGGCACUUUGGAUGGCCCGCCCUCCUCACCUCCUCUCAGUGUGGAAGACUGGGCUUCACAGAGGCCAAGAGCACGGGCUGGAUUCUCUGGAGGCUGCUUGCCCUCCCUUGGGUUUGUUGUGGGGGUCUUGGGUUACCCUUUUUUAAGAGGGCCUAGCUCUUCCCUAGCCUAGCCCAGAAAACCAUGCCCUCCUCGCUCCUCUCCUGGUGAAUGUCUCCAGGGACACUGUCAGAAGCUUUCCCACUGGGUCCCAACUGAGCCUCGGAAUCCUUCUCAACACAGCCCCAGGCACCCUCUGUCGAUGAAUGAAGGCUGGUGUUUGAAAUGGAAGCCAUUUGCCAGUUCUGCCUUAAACCUCACGACUCUGAAAGCAUCCCAGGGAAAUGUUGCUCACGGUGUGAAGCAGCCUGCAGCUGUCCACAGGGGAUCCCCUGGCGAAGGAUGGAGGAGACUCUCCUUCGGAGAAGGCUGGAGCUGGAGUGGAGGCAGAAGGGAGUGGUGAGGAGGAAGGGCAAUAGCAUUUUCUUCCCCGAGACACCAGCGGGCUGCCUGGGCUCCUAACUCGCCUCUCUGCCCCCUCCCGCCUUCUUCAAUCCCCCACUUCCCUGCCGCAGAGUUGUGGGACCCUUUGAGGGAGGAGGCACAGCAGAGGCCGAAGGCCUACGUCGGUCCCAGCUCUGCCACCUGAGCUGCUGGGCUUAGCUUCUUGUUUAGCUUCUCUGUGCCUCUGUGCCUUAGUUUUCUAAUCUGUAGGAUGGGAAUAACAUUUCCUGCCUCCAAGGACCACUGUGAAGCAUAAAUUUACUAAGAUGCUAUUGAAUGGGUUAUAGGAAUCUUUAUUUAUUUAUUUAUUUAUUUUGAGACAGUCUUGUUCUGUCACCAGGCUGGAGUGCAAUGACGUGAUCUCUUCUCACUGCAACCUCCACCUCCCAGGUUCAAGGGAUUCUCCUGCCUCAGCCUCCCAAGUGAGUAGCUUGGACUACAGGCACGAGCCAUCACGCCCAGCUAAUUUUUGUAUUUUUAAUACAGACGGGGUUUCCCCAUGUUGGCCAGGAUGGUUUCGAUCUCUCGACCUCAUGAUCCACCUGCCUCGGCCUCCCAAAGUGCUGGGAUUAUAGGCAUGAGCCACCGCGCCCGGCCAGAACUCAUCUUUUAACAAUUCUGAAGCCAGAGAGCACCUGACAAUCAAUGGCAUGUUGCAGUUCAAUUGGGAGCAUUUGUUGUUCUCUCUUGGUGCCAUGCAAAAAUACAAGCAUCUCCCCAUUGGUGGCACCGCCAGUGGGUUGAAAUACAGCAUAUAAAGCCUUAGAGCCAGGCCUGGCACGUGGUAAGUGCCGAUAGUGCUAGUGGUUCAGAUUUCUAUCAUCCAGAUCUUGUUCUGUUGCUCCCCAACCCCACCCCAGGCCAAUGAUGCAAAUAAGAAUCACUGAAAACAGGCCAGGAGUGGUGGCUCGCGCCUGUAAUCCCAGCACUUUGGGAGGCCAAGGCGGGUGGAUUACCUGAGGUCAGGUGUUCAAAACCAGCCUGAUCAACGUGGUGAAAUACCGUCUCUACUGAAAAUAAAAAUAAAAAAAAUUAGCCAGGCAUGGUGGCACGUGCUUGUAGUCCCAGCUACUCGGGAGGCUGAAGCAGGAGGACAGCUUGAACCCGGGAGGCGGAGGUUGCAGUGAGCCGAGAUCUUGCCACUGCACUCCAGCCUAGGCGACAAGAGCUAAACUCUGUCUCAAAAAAUAAAAAUAAAUCACUGAAAUCAGAAGCCCCUGUUCUGGGGCAUUGCAAGAGUGUGCUCAAGGGGAGAGCACGGGGAUUAGAGUUCCGGCAGGUGGUGACGGUCCUCCGGCCAUGGUGUUCCCCAAGCCCUGCCACCCCCGGCCACCCUGGUCAGUUCUGUGUCCGUCUCUCCACCUUCCCCCACAAUACACCUAUGGUGCUUCCUGACAUGGGACCAUGCUCAAUGUUCUCAUCAUUUCUCUUAUAACAAUAACAUUUUUGUGCAAGAUGAUUUUUAUUGUUGGCAUAAUAUCCUGUCACAUAAACGGUCUAUGCUUUUCUUAACAGGCACCCAUAGCUAGUGGUUGAGGUUGAGGUAUCAUACAGAAGUACCUGGUCCCUAUGGCGCUGCACCCAUCACCUGUGAUUCUUCAGGAUAAAACCCUGAAGGGGAAUUGCCAGAGAGAAACCAUGGAUUGUCUAUCAAUGAUGAGGACCAAAGCCUAUCUUUGGUCCUCAUUAUUGAUUUACAAUCUAGGAAUCAUUAUCCCUACUGACUAGAAGCUCAGCUAAGCUACUUCUAUUCCACCACCUGGAAAUGACUCUUAGCCUCUGUGGCUUUGGCUUGCACCCACCUGGCUCCAGGUCUCCCAGAGGCCUGAGAAACCUUGGUGAAACCUGCAAAGUUCCCUUUGGCCUGGCUUAUCUGGGGCUCUGCACUGAUGCACCGUAAGAAGGAUGGAGCCUUGGGAGCGUCCCCUUCUGCUGCCGGCAAAGCCGGUUUCCCCUACGCUGGAUUUGUAUGUAUUUAUUCUGGUCCGUUAGCAAUGGCCAGUCUGGGCGUCUGCAUCUAGGGAAGCACCUUUGCAGCCCUGUCUGUGCCUUCAAUUUUCUCCAGAGUUUUCUCUCCCAGCCGGAGUAGCUGACCCGCCGGUCAGCAGGCUGUGAAUUCAUUAUGCACAGGCACCGCAGCCUCUGUCAAAGAACGCAGAAAAGCAAUUUUAGAAAAGAAAUCCUGGUUUCUCGCUUGGUGGCUUCAUUGUGGGAGAAAGUGACAAUUAUGAAUGACAUUAGAGCUGUGCUGGAGCACUGGGCCGGGACAGGAGGGGACUGGUCUCCGCUCUCCAAGCAGGCACUGGCUCUCUGGGUGCCAGGUCUGGGUUCGCUUCUCUCCCCAAUCCUACCGCCACAUGGAAGAGGGUCCCGCUCCACGUGCCACUCAGGACGCAAGGGCCGAAUGAUCCCAGCGUGUGCGGGCCUCACUGGAUCCCAGGAGGCCAGAAAAGCCCUAAGGGGCAUCCAGAAAUCCUUCCACUAGAACAGGGAACCUAGGAGGCCCCAAAAGAGGAGGGACCUGCCUGAGUUCACACAGCAAGGCAGGUGAGGGCCUGGGGCUGGGACCCUCCUCUCAGGGGCUAGGCUCUGUCCCCUUCACCAACUGUCCCUUAAUCCCUGCGGUUUGGAGGAGGGACAGCAUGUCAGGUCAGGUUCCCCAGGAACCGAGACGGGAAUUUGGAGCAGGAGGCCAUGGUAAGGAGGGGGCUCUUGGAGUCUGUUGUAGGUUGAGUGGUGAGCCCCAGAAAGAUCUAUCCCGGCCGGCUCAGUGGUUCACGCCUGUAAUCCCAACACUUUGGGAGGCCUAGGUGGGUGGAUUGCCUGAGGUCAGGAGUUCAAGACCAGCCUGGUCAACAUGGCAAAACCACGUUUCUACUAAAAAUAUAAAAAUUAGCCGGGCAUAGUGGCACAUGCCUGCAAUCCCAGCUACUCAGGAGACUGAGGCAGGAGAAUCGCUUGAACCCGGAAGGUGGAAAUUGCAGCGAGCCAAGAUCACACCAUUGCACUACAGCCUGGGCAACAAGAGUGAAACUCCGUCUCAAAAAAAAAGAAAAAGAAAAAAUCUAUCCAUAUUCUAACCCGUGGAAGUGGUGAAUGGAAAAAGGGGUCUUUGCAGAUGUAAUUGAAGUAAGGUUCUUAAGUGUCCUUAUAAGGGUCAGAAAGGGGAAGACAGAGAGCAGACGCCCACGUGACAAUGACAGAGACUAGAGGGAUGUGCCCACAAGCCAAGGAGCCACCAGCAGCUGGAAGAGGCAGGAAGGAUCCUCCCCUAGAGCCUUGGGCAGGAGCAAGUCCCUGCUGACACCUUGAUUUCAGACUUUGGCCUCCAGAAC